rnacentral:rRNA from 1 species
GGGAGCUUCCUUUUGAUUAGUUAGUUGGUGGGGUAAAAGCUUACCAAGGCAUCGAUCAGUAGCUGGUCUGAGAGGAUGAUCAGCCACACUGGGACUGAAACACGGCCCAAACUCCUACGGGAGGCAGCAGUGGGGAAUUUUCCGCAAUGGGCGAAAGCCUGACGGAGCAACGCCGCGUGAAGGACGAAGGCCUCUGGGCUGUAAACCUCUUUUCAAAGGAAAAAGAUCUGACGGUACUUGAGGAAUAAGCCACGGUUAAUUCCGUGCCACCAGCCGCGGUAAUACGGGAGUGGCAAGCUUUAUCCGGAAUUAUUGGGCGUAAAGCGUCCGCAGGCGGCUUUUUAAGUUUGUUGUAAAAGCGUGGAGUUUAACUCCAUUUCGGCAAUGGAAACUGGGAGGCUUGAGUGUGGUAGGGGCAGAGGGAAUUCCCGGUGUAGCGGUGAAAUGCGUAGAUAUCGGGAAGAACACCAGUGGCGAAGGCGCUCUGCUGGGCCAUAACUGACGCUAAUGGACAAAAG